rnacentral:rRNA from 1 species
UACGGGGGGGCAAGCGUUGUUCGGAAUUACUGGGCGUAAAGCGCGUGUAGGCGGCCCUGCAAGUCGGGUGUGAAAUCCCAUGGCUCAACCAUGGAAGUGCACUCGAAACUGCAGGGCUAGAGUCCUGGAGAGGAAGGUGGAAUGCUUGGUGUAGAGGUGAAAUUCGUAGAUAUCAAGCGGAACACCGGAUGGCGAAGGCGGCCUCUGGACAGUGACUGACGCUGAGACGCGAAAGCGUGGGGAGCAAACAGGG